AUUGAACGCUGGCGGCAGGCCUAACACAUGCAAGUCGAAUGGUAACAGGAAACAGCUUGCUGUUUCGCUGACGAGUGGCGGACGGGUGAGUAAUGUCUGGGAAACUGCCUGAUGGAGGGGGAUAACUACUGGAAACGGUAGCUAAUACCGCAUAACGUCGCAAGACCAAAGAGGGGGACCUUCGGGCCUCUUGCCAUCAGAUGUGCCCAGAUGGGAUUAGCUAGUAGGUGGGGUAACGGCUCACCUAGGCGACGAUCCCUAGCUGGUCUGAGAGGAUGACCCGCCACACUGGAACUGAGACACGGUCCAGACUCCUACGGGAGGCAGCAGUGGGGAAUAUUGCACGAUGGGCGCAAGCCUGAUGCAGCCAUGCCGCGUGUAUGAAGAAGGCCUUCGGGUUGUAAAGUACUUUCAGCGGGGAGGAAGGGAGUAAAGUUAAUACCUUUGCUCAUUGACGUUACCCGCAGAAGAAGCACCGGCUAACUCCGUG
rnacentral:rRNA from 1 species